rnacentral:rRNA from 1 species
UACGUAGGGGGCUAGCGUUGUCCGGAAUCAUUGGGCGUAAAGCGCGUGUAGGCGGUCCGGUAAGUCCGCUGUGAAAGUCGAGGGCUCAACCCUCGAAUGCCGGUGGAUACUGUCGGGCUAGAGUGCGGAAGAGGCGAGUGGAAUUCCUGGUGUAGCGGUGAAAUGCGCAGAUAUCAGGAGGAACACCGAUGGCGAAGGCAGCUCGCUGGGACGGUACUGACGCUGAGGCGCGAAAGCGUGGGGAGCAAACAGG